GUCUGUUGUAGUGACUCUUUAUGAAGCGAAGGGAGCAGCUGAAAGAGCCCCCCCCGUUCAUGUUAAAUUCUUCUUAUACUGCCAUUUUCUUUUUUGUUUGCUCUUACUUUCACAGGUGGACAAUAAGGCCUCCAAGUCUGUGCCCGUUGUGAUAACAGUUGUCAUAGUCCUGAUUCUGAGUAUUGCAGUAGGAGUAGUCUUUGUCAAGAAAUAUGUCUGCGGUGGCAGGUUCUUGGUUCACAGGUACUCUGUGCUACAGCAGCAUGUUGAGGCCAAUGCUGCUGAUGGGAUAGACGAACCGCUGGAGACCAACCACACUCAAAAUGGCAAAAUAGAGUUUCAUGAUGACUCAGAUGAGGAUCUGCUUGAAUAGCAGGCACAACCUGUCAAGCAACUGAGCAACAGGUUUCUUACAGGGCCCCGUGACCUGCCGCUGUUCCUGCCGCUCUUUUUGUCUCCAGAUACUUUUCCUUUCACCUUUUAGUAUAAACUUUGGCCUUGGCUACAGAUGAAGAAUCUGUCCUUCUGCUGUCAUUGGUUCAGUCUGAUGAAUGUACAGAGGCUCUCUGAGACUAAUGCCACAGUUGAGGAGCAUUACAACGAAGGUCUUACUGUGUUUUGCUUCAGUUAUUGAUUCUGUCGAGUGAGUUUGAAUCCCAAAGUUAUUUAUUUUUAGGAGAUAAAGAAAUUAUGCCGUAAUCUAAAGCUGGUUGUAUAAAUCCAUCGCCACCGUAUUACGGGUUCUCCCUCUUCUAUCCCCUUGGAGUGCACCUGGAAAUAUUUCACACUUCUUUUCUCAUGCACUUGUACAUAA